UUCAUAAUGACACAUUUAUUUAUUUCAAGAGACUUGUAUUUCAUAAUGACACAUUUCCAUUCCUUAUAUGCAAAUGAACGGGGCGUGGUUAGCUCACAGAUCCAGAGACCCAGACCAAAGCAACAGCACCACAACACUGACUACUCGAGAAGAGGAAGAAAAUGGAGGAGAAGGACUAUAAGGCAAACUACUAAAUGAAAAUAAGGCGGGGCAGACAACAUGGAAGACGUCGGUGGGCUCCAAGAUGCUAUGCUAUCCUUAGCAGAUCAAAUUGAUCAACACGGUUUACCAACAGAUACUGUGUUGGCCCAUAUUGAAGACUUUAUCGAAGUACUCGGGCGGAUAAGCGCUCUUCGAGAUAUCGACACGGAUGACGAAGUUGUAAAUACUUUGACACUGAUUGAGCACCGUGUUCGUGUGGAAGAUGUCCAAGAAGUUGGUUCAAGCACAGGUGCAGGACGCCCGCCUCUGGAUAUUCCAGGCGAUAUGCUUGCUACCUAUGUGCUGUCCGGUCUAUCAACCCGGCGGUUGGCUGCCUCUCUCAAUAAUUCGGAGAGGCUUUUCUCAGUCAGACAUAGCAUGUAAUAUGAUACUCUAAAUGUCACCCGCCAGAAAUGUUCGCUUCUUCUUCUUCGGUGUAAAUUGUCCGUUGGCAAACCAGUUGACUUCUUCUUCUCUGGGUUUUUUGGCGGAUUGCAAACAACUUUAAGGUGCAUACCGCCACCUACUGUACAUGAGUGUGAAUCAUCAUAUCAUUCCAUCUCUUAACUCAUGGACAUAUCUAUGAUCUAAUCCAAAAAUAAAUAAAUAAGAAACAUAAUAAAUAAAACAAAACAACAAUCUAUGAUCUUUCCUGACCUAAUGUUAGAUAAUUUUACCUACCCCAGUUUCACUAAAGGUAAACAGUGCCUUUCUUGUAGCUCUUUCUCCCUCUCCUUUUGUUCCCAAAAUACCAACCACACUCCAUUCCCUCUCUGCCUCUAAAACGUUAUCCUUUAGUUUUUCUCUUUCAGCUUUAUAGAUGUUCCACAUUUUCUUUAACUGCUGUGUGAUUUAUUCUGAGUCUAGCUAUCAUAAUUUCCUCCCUUCUGUUUCUUUCUUUAUAAAUAUUUGUCUGCUGGCAUACCAGCAGACCAGCAUUUAUCUAUCACCAGCUUAUGUUAGUAUUAAAUAUACAAUGUAUUCUGGUAACUAUCAAAAUAAAGACAUUGUAUAGUGUU